UAGGGAAUCUUCCGCAAUGGACGAAAGUCUGACGGAGCGACACCGCGUGGAGGACGAAGGCCUUCGGGUUGUAAACUCCUUUUCCAGGGGAAGAAUAAGGGUAAGAGGAAAUGCUUAUCCGAUGACGGUACUCUGGGAAUAAGCCACGGCUAACUCUGUGCCAGCAGCCGCGGUAAGACAGAGGUGGCGAACGUUACCCGGAUUCAUUGGGCGUAAAGGACGUCUAGGCGGUUUGGUGUGUCUUCUGUGAAAGCCCUCUGCUUAACGGGGGGAGGCCAGGGGAAACUACCAGACUAGAGGGUCGGAGAGGGAAGCGGAACUACCAGAGGAGCGGUGAAAUGCGUAGAUACUGGUAGGAACCUCGAUAGCGAAGGCAGCUUCCUGGCCGAUACCUGACGCUAAAGCGUGAAAGCGUGGGGAGCAAACCGGAUUAGAUACCCGGGUAGUCCACGCCCCAAACGAUGUCGAUUAGGUGUUGGCCUCUUUAAUGCUGGGCCAGUGCCGCAGCUUACGCGUUAAAUCGACCGCCUGGGGAGUACGGCCGCAAGGCUA
rnacentral:rRNA from 1 species